AAUAGAUACCCGGGUAGUCCACGCCGUAAACGAUGAGUGCUAAGUGUUAGAGGGUUUCCGCCCUUUAGUGCUGCAGCUAACGCAUUAAGCACUCCGCCUGGGGAGUACGGCCGCAAGGCUGAAACUCAAAGGAAUUGACGGGGGCCCGCACAAGCGGUGGAGCAUGUGGUUUAAUUCGAAGCAACGCGAAGAACCUUAACCAGGUCUUGACAUCCUCUGCCAACCCUAGAGAUAGGGCGUUCCCCUUCGGGGGACAGAGUGACAGGUGGUGCAUGGUUGUCGUCAGCUCGUGUCGUGAGAUGUUGGGUUAAGUCCCGCAACGAGCGCAACCCUUGAUCUUAGUUGCCAGCAUUCAGUUGGGCACUCUAAGGUGACUGCCGGUGACAAACCGGAGGAAGGUGGGGAUGACGUCAAAUCAUCAUGCCCCUUAUGACCUGGGCUACACACGUGCUACAAUGGAUGGUACAAAGAGCUGCGAACCCGCGAGGGUAAGCGAAUCUCAUAAAGCCAUUCUCAGUUCGGAUUGUAGG
rnacentral:rRNA from 1 species